GACGAACGCUGGCGGCGUGCUUAACACAUGCAAGUCGAACGGAAAGGCCCUGCUUUUGUGGGGUGCUCGAGUGGCGAACGGGUGAGUAACACGAGAGUAACCUGCCCUUGACUUUGGGAUAACUUCAGGAAACUGGGGCUAAUACCGGAUAGGAGCUCCUGCUGCAUGGUGGGGGUUGGAAAGUUUCGGCGGUUGGGGAUGGACUCGCGGCUUAUCAGCUUGUUGGUGGGGUAGUGGCUUACCAAGGCUUUGACGGGUAGCCGGCCUGAGAGGGUGACCGGCCACAUUGGGACUGAGAUACGGCCCAGACUCCUACGGGAGGCAGCAGUGGGGAAUAUUGCACAAUGGGCGGAAGCCUGAUGCAGCAACGCCGCGUGCGGGAUGACGGCCUUCGGGGUGUAAACCGCUUUCGCCUGUGACGAUGCGUGAGUGACGGUAAUGGGUAAAGAAGCACCGGCUAACUACGUG
rnacentral:rRNA from 1 species